rnacentral:rRNA from 1 species
AACGAACGCUGGCGGCAGGCCUAACACAUGCAAGUCGAACGUGAAGCCACCUUCGGGUGGUGGAAAGUGGCAGACGGGUGAGUAACGCGUGGGAACGUGCCUUUCGGUUCGGAAUAACCCAGGGAAACUUGGGCUAAUACCGGAUACGCCCUUCGGGGGAAAGAUUCAUCGCCGAAAGAUCGGCCCGCGUCGGAUUAGCUAGUUGGUAGGGUAAUGGCCUACCAAGGCAACGAUCCGUAGCUGGUCUGAGAGGAUGACCAGCCACACUGGGACUGAGACACGGCCCAGACUCCUACGGGAGGCAGCAGUGGGGAAUAUUGGACAAUGGGCGAAAGCCUGAUCCAGCCAUGCCGCGUGGGUGAAGGAGGCCUUAGGGUUGUAAACCCCUUUCAGCGGGGAAGAUAAUGACGGUACCCGCAGAAGAAGCCCCGGCUAACUCCGUGCCAGCAGCCGCCGUAAGAC